GCCAGUGUAGCUUAGUGUUCAGAGCACUGGACUGAGACUCAGGAGACCUGGGUCUAUUCCUUGCUCUGCCA
rnacentral:tRNA from 1 species